AUCUGCCAGUUUUAUCUUCUUGUCAGACUUCUGUCCUUUUCUUGUUGCAUCGAGCAAGCCUAGUGACAGAAAAGACAGUGCAUUCCAUGGAUCAUAGUCGAAGUUGAGUAACAGAGAGUACUGCCCAAGCUUUCUUUCCCAAGUACAUUCUCUUGUGGGACUCUCAUUUACAGUUUUUGUUCGUGACUUGGUAAUGUAUUCCCGGAUGUCAUCCACUACUAACAUCCUAGAAGGAGAUAUAAAUGUUGUCGUGCAGUUUAUCAAAGCUAAACUGGCAAGCAAAACAAUGGUAACCCAACGAAUAACAUCGGUUCCAUUGACUCUCUGUUCCAAAUUACUACGAUGGUAGUGUCUGCUGAGUGCUCCGGAAAUGAUGUUCCAAACAAUAGCAAACAAUGUAGCAACUGCUGACAUGUAGUAGAUGAAAUAUGCCCAUGUUUAUUCGUAGUAUUGAUCAAGCCAAAUAUCCACAGAAGUAGCUAGCUUGUUUUCAACAGGAUCAUGCCUAGGGAUUACAUGUCACAUCGAUCCGCUGGAUCGUGGUGUUUUCUAAGAAUUAACAAGGUUCCUUCUGUAGAUGACUACUCUUCUUUUAGUAAAUAUCAAAGUUAACAUGGUGGUUUGAGUUGUUGAGACGUAAAUAACUCACAUCAUAGUAUCUGUCGAGAAGGGUCUGUAGUUGCUCUUUUCUUUCUAAAACGGUGGUUUCUGUGACCAGAAAUGGCUAUCUUACGUGAUGAACUGUAGAACAAGCUACAAGAUCCAAAAGCAACACCGAUGUUUCUUCCUCUAGAAUUUGAAAGGCAUCACAUGUGAUUUUUCCACUGAAUCGGACCUUGGCAGAGGUGGAUAUGGAGUGGUUUACAAGAUGAAUCUCUGGACCUUGAGUGGAAUAUGAGAUACGAGAUAAUCAAGGCAAUUUGCAGUGGUUUGUGUUUCCUUCAGGAAGAAUACCGUAUCCUUCAUCUGGACCUUAAGCCAGAAAAUAUAUUGAUGGACUUUAUGAUGAUGCCGAAAAUCGCGGAUUUUGGUUUGUCGAGUCUCUUUGGUGUGCAGCAAAUGCGAAUCUUCACUGAUAAUCCUGCAGGAAACAUGAAUAUAUGGCACCAGAAUACUUACUUCAAGGUGUAAUCUCAAGCAAGGCAGAUAUCUUCAGUCUGGGUGUUAUAAUCACAGAGAUUAUCACAGGUUGUACAGCCCCCACAGUACUGCUACAUCUUGUCAGCAUUUCAUAGAGAAUCUAAGAUGAACUAUUCUAACC